rnacentral:rRNA from 1 species
CCCUUAGAUGUCCUGGGCCGCACGCGCGCUACACUGAGUGUCUGAGAUACGAGUCUGCCUGGUCCGGCAAGGUCUAGGUAAUCGCUAAAAGACACAUCAUGCUUGGGAUAGAUUAUUGCAAAUAUUAAUCUUGAACGAGGAAUUCCUAGUAAGCGCAAGUCAACAGCUUGCGUUGAUUACGUCCCUGCCCUUUGUACACACCGCCCGUCGCUACUACUGAUUGGAUGUUUAAGCGAGGUUCUCGAACUGUUAGCGACUUAGCUUCGGUGAGGUCGCAGUGUGGGAAGUGAACCUAGCUUUGGUGUCUAGAGGAAGUAAAAGUCGUAACA